AACAUCCUUGUUGCAGGAGCCGCGAAUGCUAACAUCCUUGCUGAAUGCCUCUUGUAAAGUUGAAGAGUCAAGAACUAAGCAAACACCAAAAAGAAUCAAAGGGUUCUGGAGCAAUGGAGAUUGCUCUACAGAACACUAGCUUUUUCUCUCAUCUUCAUUUCUUUUCCAGGUGGGAACUAUCAGGGCAGAUAUAAGGGAUAAGAAUAUCUCUAUCUAAAUAUGCAAUCUUCCAUGCUUGUGCUGGAUGUUUGCAUCAUGUACAAAAACUAAGUCGGGAAAUAACUAGAGAAAAGAUCAGAUAAUAUAUAUCUCACUUUCUUCAGAUGCCUGGAGCAUCAUACAGGGAAGGAUGCAGCAAGGAUAUGAAAAGCAAAGAUCGCAGCGUCGGAUCGUGGCAUCGCAACGCCGCACAUCUGAUAAGGUCAGGCUAGUUUACAAAGCAGCGGCAGCUCAAUCUACUGAGAAAAGCCAAGGGCAAGUUGGCCGGAUUCUGUGCCACAGAUAAGGCUGGUCAGUGAGGUGGUGAGGGCCGGCUGGCUAUUAUGGAUGCUAUUCUGAAACCGGCUGAGGGGAUUGAUCCCUGGUUCGUUCGAAACCGGUUCAAUCAGCCAGUUGGAAUUGGUUCCAUGUGUCGUAUGACAAAGUAGUGGCCGUACCAUUCAGGUAUUGCCGGUCGUUGUCGGCACCAUUCUUGCUACGACAGACGCAAUUACUGUAUGGGUGUGCAUGGAGCAAUGGCAUCUGUGGUAUUUUUCAGGCUGAGGUAGGCACUGCAUGCUUUGACGGAUGGAGAAUGCAGGAACUUCACUAUACAAAUUUACUGUACCAAUAUGAAUUCUAGUGUACGCAAGGCUGUGUGUAACCAUAUAUCUGUAUACUAUAUGCUGAUUAAUCUAAAGAUAAAAAAGUUUCAAA